CCAGAGCCCCUCAGUGUAGACCCUGGUCGGCUCUGCCGGUGUUGGAAACACUGCCACCUGCUGGACCCUUUGAGAAUGUCAGCAGGCCCUGCCCUUCAAACCCAGUCGCAAACUUGACUGGUGCCAGGGUCAGCAACUCAGCCACCAGAGUCGGGGUGCACGGGACCCAAGACCUGUGGCUGCCAGUUGCUCGAGGGAGAGAUUAGUCGAGCCAGAAUAUUGGCCAGAAUAUAGACAUAAUUAGACAUAGUUUUUAACAUUUAAGAGAACUGUAUUAAAUUCCAGGACUUGCCUCUUGAAAUGAUCUCAUUCUAUGAUUAUGUUACCUCCAUUGGGCUUCCCUGGUGGCUUAGGCCAUGAAGAAUCUGACUCGGGUCUGAUCCCUAAAGAAGGAAAUGACUACCCACUCCAGUAUUCUUGCCUGGAGAAUUCCAUGGACAGAGGAGCCUGACAGGCUACAGUCCAUGGGAUCACAAAGAGUCGGACAAGACUGAGCGAUUAACUUUCACUUUCACUUUGUCAUUCGCUGAAGGAUUUGGGAACAGAAAGGUCAAGACCUCCUCUGUCCUCUGUAGAUCUUCAGGCCCUGAUUUGAAAUGAUGUGUGUGCUCAGCCCUAGACUUUCAAGGCAGCUUCAAGUGAGAUAUGUUCUGACCAGAUUCCAGCCUCCAGUCCCUGUUCCCAGCCCUUCACCAGAGCCGUCGGGUAAAUUUUCUAAUCCUCUCCGGGACAUUCCUAUUUCCUGCCGAGAAGUAAGAAAACAACAGUGCUUCCCUAAGGGCGGUAUGCCUCAGCCCUGCCUCGCAAUCUCCAUUUUAGGAAAAAUGUUUCCCCGAGCACGAAUCCUCUGAAAGGAAAAGGCCUGUGAGUCUCCUGGGAAAGAAUAUGAGACCCCACCGUGAGGAUUUGCCGUAGAAUUUCGCUGCAUUCCUCUGCGGGACUGGGCUGUCUAGGAAGUUCAUUUUGAUUUAAAAAUAUAUCAGAAUGGGAAUGUGUUUGUGUGAGUAGGCGUGUGAAACAGAUUUGAAAAAAAGACAGGCAAAAAUAAAGUGGGGAGAUAAGGAGAGAGGUCA
rnacentral:lncRNA from 1 species